CUAUCAUUAGUCUUUAUUGGCUACGUAGGUUCAAAUCCUACAUCAUCCG
rnacentral:tRNA from 1 species